rnacentral:rRNA from 1 species
GACGAACCGAGCGAACGUUGUUCGGAAUCACUGGGCUUAAAGGGCGCGUAGGCGGGUGUUCAAGUCUGUGGUGAAAUCCUCCGGCUCAACCGGAGAAUUGCCUCGGAUACUGAAUGUCUCGAGGGUGAUAGGGGUAUGCGGAACUAUCGGUGGAGCGGUGAAAUGCGUUGAUAGUCGGAUAGGAACUCCGGUGGCGAAGGCGGCAUACUGGAUCACUUCGUGACGCUGAGGCGCGAAAGCCAGGGGAGCAAACGGG